rnacentral:rRNA from 1 species
AUUGAACGCUGGCGGCAGGCUUAACACAUGCAAGUCGAGCGAGCGGCGGACGGGUGAGUAAUGUCUGGGAAACUGCCUGAUGGAGGGGGCUAUCUACUGGAAACGGUAGCUAAUACCGCAUACCCUCAGAUGUGCCCAGAUGGGAUUAGCUAGUAGGUGGGGUAAUGGCUCACCUAGGCGACGAUCCCUCGCUGGUCUGAGAGGAACACGAGCAACACUGGAACUGAGACCCGGUCCAGACUCCUACGUGAGGCAGCAGUGGGGAAUAUUGCAAAAUGAAGUCAAGCCUUAGGCAGCCAUGCGGCGUGUGUGAAGAAUUCCUUCGGGCUGUAAAGCACUUUCAGCGAGGAGGCGUUACUCGCACAAGAAGUAACGGCUAACUCCGUGCCAGCAGCCGCGGUAAUUC